rnacentral:rRNA from 1 species
GACGAACGCUGGCGGCGUGCUUAACACAUGCAAGUCGAACGGUAAGGCCCUUCGGGGUACACGAGUGGCGAACGGGUGAGUAACACGUGGGUGAUCUGCCCUGCACUUCGGGAUAAGCCUGGGAAACUGGGUCUAAUACCGGAUAGGACACUGCCUGCAUGGGGGGUGGUGGAAACCUUUUGCGGUGUGGGAUGGGCCCGCGGCCUAUCAGCUUGUUGGUGGGGUGAUGGCCUACCAAGGCGACGACGGGUAGCCGGCCCGAGAGGGUGACCGGCCACACUGGGACUGAGAUACGGCCCAGACUCCUACGGGAGGCAGCAGUGGGGAAUAUUGCACAAUGGGCGCAAGCCUGAUGCAGCGACGCCGCGUGAGGGAUGACGGCCUUCGGGUUGUAAACCUCUUUCAGCACCGACGAAGCGCAAGUGACGGUAGGUGCAGAAGAAGGACCGGCCAACUACGUGCCAGCAGCCGCAGUAA